GCCCCCAUCGUCUAGUGGACUAGGAUAUCUGGUUCUCAGCCAGAAGACCGGGGUUCAAUUCCCCGUGGGGGUC
rnacentral:tRNA from 1 species